CUACGGACUUGACCGAAUUGAGCCUUGGUAUGGAAACCUACCAAGUGAUAGCUUCCAAAUCCAUGGAACCUUGGGAUUUUUUGAAUGGGUAAUCCUAAGCCAAAUCCGGUUCAUGGAGACAAUAGUUUAUUCUUUUCUUCUCCUAAGAUAGGAAGAGGUGCAAAGACUCAAUGGAAGCUAUUCUAACGAAUGAAUCUCAUUUGGUCUAAUAUUGUAUUUAUAGAACACUCUAUUUACACCUAAAAAGUGGGGAUGUGAUAUAACAG
rnacentral:ncRNA from 1 species